rnacentral:piRNA from 1 species
CUUCAAAGCAUUUCCUGGUGACUCCCUGGG